AUUCGCGGCCUAUCAGCUUGUUGGUGAGGUAGUGGCUCACCAAGGCGACGACGGGUAGCCGGCCUGAGAGGGUGACCGGCCACACUGGGACUGAGACACGGCCCAGACUCCUACGGGAGGCAGCAGUAGGGAAUAUUGCACAAUGGGCGAAAGCCUGAUGCAGCGACGCCGCGUGAGGGAUGACGGCCUUCGGGUUGUAAACCUCUUUCAGCUUUGAAGAAGCCUUCGGGUGACGGUAGGAGCAGAAGAAGCACCGGCUAACUACGUGCCAGCAGCCGCGGUAAUACGUAGGGUGCGAGCGUUGUCCGGAAUUAUUGGGCGUAAAGAGCUUGUAGGCGGUUUGUCAUGUCUGCUGUGAAAACUCGGGGCUUAACUCCGAGCUUGCAGUGGGUACGGGCAGACUAGAGUGUGGUAGGGGAGACUGGAAUUCCUGGUGUAGCGGUGGAAUGCGCAGAUAUCAGGAGGAACACCGAUGGCGAAGGCAGGUCUCUGGGCCAUUACUGACGCUGAGAAGCGAAAGCGUGGGGAGCGAACAGGAUUAGAUACCCUGGUAGUCCACGCCGUAAACGGUGGGCGCUAGGUGUGGGACUCAUUCCACGAGUUCCGUGCCGCAGCUAACGCAUUAAGCGCCCCGCCUGGGGAGUACGGAAU
rnacentral:rRNA from 1 species